GGGCCCGCACAAGCAGUGGAGUAUGUGGUUUAAUUCGAAGCAACGCGAAGAACCUUACCAGGGCUUGACAUAUACAGGAAUAUGUAAGAGAUUACAUAGCUCUUCGGAGUCUGUAUACAGGUGGUGCAUGGUUGUCGUCAGCUCGUGUCGUGAGAUGUUGGGUUAAGUCCCGCAACGAGCGCAACCCCUGUUUCUAGUUGCCAGCACGUAAUGGUGGGAACUCUAGAGAGACUGCCGGUGAUAAAUCGGAGGAAGGUGGGGACGACGUCAAAUCAUCAUGCCCUUUAUGUCCUGGGCUACACACGUACUACAAUGGCUACAACAGAGGGAAGCAAGACAGUGAUGUUAAGCAAAACCCAAAAGUAGUCUCAGUUCGGAUUGAAGGCUGAAAUUCGCCUUCAUGAAGCCGGAAUUGCUAGUAAUGGCAGGUCAGCAUACUG
rnacentral:rRNA from 1 species